rnacentral:misc_RNA from 1 species
CGACAAGUGAAUGGAGGAUUACGGGAGCAGUGACGAAGAUACAUAUUCGUCUGAUCAAGAAUCUUAUGACGGACUCGAGAAUGAAGAGACUGAUUCUCAAUGGGGCUCUUCCACGGGAAACUCCUGCAAGGUAAUCACAAGGGAGUCUCUUUUGGUGGCACAGAGAGAAGAUUUGCGGAGAGUGAUGGACUUGCUCUCACUAAGAGAACACCAUGCAAGAACCUUGCUCAUUCACUAUCGUUGGGAUGUCGAGAGGUUGUUUGCGAUUCUUGUUGAAAAGGGAAAGACUUGCUUAUUUGCUGAAGCAGGGGUAACUAUUCUUGAAGAAAUUGAUGUUGACUCGUCUGUGUCUUCUUCGACUAUGAUGUGCGGCAUAUGCAUGGAAGAGGUAGCAGGGAGUGAAGUCACGAAAAUGGACUGUGG